UACAGAGGGUGCAAGCGUUAAUCGGAAUGACUGGGCGUAAAGGGCACGUAGGCGGAUAGAUGUGUCAUAGGUGAAAUCCCCGGGCUCAACCUGGGAACUGCCUGUGAAACUGUGUAUCUAGAAUAUAGGAGAGGGAAGUGGAAUUUCCGGUGUAGCGGUGAAAUGCGUAGAUAUCGGAAAGAACACCAGUGGCGAAGGCGACUUCCUGGUCUAAUAUUGACGCUGAGGUGCGAAAGCGUGGGGAGCAAACGGG
rnacentral:rRNA from 1 species